rnacentral:rRNA from 1 species
UUAAAAAGCUCGUAGUUGAACCUUGGGCCUGGCUGACCUGUCCUCCUAAUCGAGCGCACGGGUUCGGUCGGGCCUUUCCUUCUGGGGAUCCCGAUGCCCUUCACUGGGCGUCGUGGGGAACCAGGACUUUUACCUUGAAAAAAUUAGAGCGUUCAAAGCAGGCCUUUGCUCGAAUACAUUAGCAUGGAAUAAUAGAAUAGGACAGAGGUUCUAUUUUGUUGGUUUCUAGGACCGCUGUAAUGAUUAAUAGGGAUAGUCGGGGG